UUAUAAGCCACAGGGGGACAAAGAAAAGAGAAAAGUUCCAACCGCCGCAAAUUCGAGAGCACGCCCAACUGCAACAAGAAUGCGAAUCGCCACAUACAUUUGCAUGUACAGGAAUUUGACUGAAAUGGUGCUACUAAAAGACGACAGACAAUGAUGCUGAGAGAUAUAUGACUGCAAAGGAUCCAUGGAAUGACCCAUAUUUCCUCCAGAGCCAGAAAGCUGCAGUCAUACAUCAUUUACCAACCAUUUGUCUGACGUCAGAGGACUUGCGAGGACUACACCCCCAAUCCUGAAAGAAGUCAGCUUCUGUCUGUUUGUUCUUAACUAAUUAAUUAAAAAUAAAAAGCUGAAAUGUC